rnacentral:lncRNA from 1 species
UGAUAUGAAAAAGUAUGUUUUAUUAUGAGCAUUGAUUGCAUGAAUGUAUUUUAUAAAAAGUUGCAUGAUUAUGAAGCAUGAAUUUUAUUAUUUUUCAUCUAUGUAUAUGUAUGUUUUAAGAAAGAGAUAUAAUAAUUUCAAAAAGACUCUCAGAUGGCUAUGAAUGAAUCCCAUCGGGAAGGUCAACAUCCGGAGCUAGCAUCUACACGAAACAUGGUCCUGGC